rnacentral:lncRNA from 1 species
CAAAAUGAAAUACAAUCAUGGAAUACACAAAUCGUUAAGUUCCAAAUCUUCAUAGACAAAUUUUAAAUAGAAGGAAAUUAAAAUCUCAAACACGGAAAAACUAAAAAUAAAGAACGGUUUCUUACUAAAAUAGAUACAUAAGCAAAAAAUAAAAAUAAAAUAAAAAAACAUGUACUUAGAACGACUUAACACUAAUAUGAUAAAAAUGAAAUAGAAAAUAUGUUUAAGGCGAUGUUCGUUUCACCAACCAUAUAAGUCGUCUGAACGGAGAUAAGAUUGUUGUUUGUUUAGAUUUCAAAUUACAAAUCAUCUUAAU